rnacentral:tRNA from 1 species
GGGCGCGUAGCUCAGCGGCAGAGCAUGUCCUUUACACGGACGAGGUCGCAGGUUCGAACCCUGUCGCGCCCACCA